rnacentral:rRNA from 1 species
AUUGAACGCUGGCGGCAUGCCUUACACAUGCAAGUCGAACGGCAGCACGGGAGCAAUCCUGGUGGCGAGUGGCGAACGGGUGAGUAAUACAUCGGAACGUGCCCAGUAGUGGGGAGUAACCCGGCGAAAGACCGGAUUAAUACCGCAUACGACCUGAGGGUGGAAAGGACGGGGGAGUCGCAAGACCUCGCGCUAUUGGAGCGGCCGAUGUCAGAUUAGCUAGUUGGUUGGGGAAAGGACCUACCAAGGCUACGAUCUGUAGUUGGUCUGAGAGGACGACCAGCCACACUGGGAC